rnacentral:rRNA from 2 species
AUUGUAUGACGUGCUUGCACUGAUUUCAACAAUGAAGCGAGUGGCGAACUGGUGAGUAACACGUGGGAAAUCUGCCCAGAAGCAGGGGAUAACACUUGGAAACAGGUGCUAAUACAGUAUAACAACAAAAUCCGCAUGGAUUUUGUUUGAAAGGUGGCUUCGGCUAUCACUUCUGGAUGAUCCCGCGGCGUAUUAGUUAGUUGGUGAGGUAAAGGCCCACCAAUGAUACGUAGCCGACCUGAGAGGGUAAUCGGCCACAUUGGGACUGAGACACGGCCCAAACUCCUACGGGAGGCAGCAGUAGGGAAUCUUCCACAAUGGACGAAAGUCUGAUGGAGCAAUGCCGCGUGAGUGAAGAAGGGUUUCGGCUCGUAAAACUCUGUUGUUAAAGAAGAACACCGAGUAACUGUUCAAGGGUUGACGGUAUUUAACCAGAAAGCCACGGCUAACUACGUGCCAGCAGCCGCAAUACGUAGGUGGCAAGCGUUGUCCGGAUUUAUUGGGCGUAAAGCGAGCGCAGGCGGUUUUUUAAGUCUGAUGUGAAAGCCUUCGGCUUAACCGGAGAAGUGCAUCGGAAACUGGGAGACUUGAGUGCAGAAGAGGACAGUGGAACUCCAUGUGUAGCGGUGGAAUGCGUAGAUAUAUGGAAGAACACCAGUGGCGAAGGCGGCUGUCUAGUCUGUAACUGACGCUGAGGCUGCAAAGCAUGGGUAGCGAACAGGAUUAGAUACCCUGGUAGUCCAUGCCGUAAAAGUGCUAAGUGUUGGAGGGUUUCCGCCCUUCAGUGCUGCAGCUAACGCAUUAAGCACUCCGCCUGGGGAGUACGACCGCAAGACUCAAAGGAAUUGACGGGGGCCCGCACAAGCGGUGGAGCAUGUGGUUUAAUUCGAAGCUACGCGAAGAACCUUACCAGGUCUUGACAUCUUCUGCCAAUCUUAGAGAUAAGACGUUCCCUUCGGGGACAGAAUGACAGGUGGUGCAUGGUUGUCGUCAGCUCGUGUCGUGAGAUGUUGGCUUAAGUCCCGCAACGAGCGCAACCCUUAUUAUCAGUUGCCAGCAUUCAGUUGGGCACUCUGGUGAGACUGCCGGUGACAAACCGGAGGAAGGUGGGGUUGACGUCAAAUCAUCAUGCCCCUUAUGACCUGGGCUACACACG